rnacentral:rRNA from 1 species
CGUGUAGGCGGUUUGUUAAGUCUGAUGUGAAAGCCCCCGGGCUCAACCUGGGAAGUGCAUUGGAUACUGGCAGACUUGAAUACGGGAGAGGGCAGUGGAAUUCCUAGUGUAGGAGUGAAAUCCGUAGAUAUUAGGAGGAACACCGGUGGCGAAGGCGGCUGCCUGGACCGAUAUUGACGCUGAGACGCGAAAGCGUGGGGAGCAAACAGGAUUAGAUACCCUGGUAGUCCACGCCGUAAACGAUGAGUACUAGGUGUUGCGGGUAUUGACCCCCUGCAGUGCCGCAGCUAACGCAUUAAGUACUCCGCCUGGGAAGUACGGUCGCAAGACUAAA